AUUGAACGCUGGCGGCAUGCCUUACACAUGCAAGUCGAACGGUAACAGGCCGCAAGGUGCUGACGAGUGGCGAACGGGUGAGUAAUGCAUCGGAACGUGCCCAGUCGUGGGGGAUAACUGCUCGAAAGAGCAGCUAAUACCGCAUACGACCUGAGGGUGAAAGCGGGGGACCGUAAGGCCUCGCGCGAUUGGAGCGGCCGAUGUCAGAUUAGCUAGUUGGUGGGGUAAAGGCCUACCAAGGCAACGAUCUGUAGUUGGUCUGAGAGGACGACCAACCACAGUGGGACUGAGACACGGCCGAGAGUCCUACUGGCGGCAGCAGUGGGGAAUUUUGGACAAUGGGCGCAAGCCUGAUCCAGCAAUGCCGCGUGCAGGAAGAAGGCCUUCGGGUUGUAAACUGCUUUUGUCAGGGAAGAAAUCUUCUGGGCUAAUACCCCGGGAGGAUGACGGUACCUGAAGAAUAAGCACCGGCUAACUACGUGCCAGCAGCCGCAGUAAAAC
rnacentral:rRNA from 1 species